UACGUAGGGGGCAAGCGUUGUCCGGAUUUAUUGGGCGUAAAGAGCGUGUAGGCGGCCAUACAGGUCAGCUGUGAAAACUCGAGGCUCAACCUCGAGACGUCGGUUGAAACCGUAUGGCUAGAGUCCGGAAGAGGAGAGUGGAAUUCCCGGUGUAGCGGUGAAAUGCGCAGAUAUCGGGAAGAACACCUAUGGCGAAAGCAGCUCUCUGGGACGGUACUGACGCUGAGACGCGAAAGCGUGGGGAGCGAACAGG
rnacentral:rRNA from 1 species